rnacentral:rRNA from 1 species
GAACGCUGGCCGGCGUGCUUAACACAUGCAAGUCGAACGGUAACAGGUCUUUCGGGAUGCUGACGAGUGGCGAACGGGUGAGUAAUGUAUAGUUAAUUUGCCUCUUGGAGAGGGAUAGCCACUGGAAACGGUGAUUAAUACCUUAUACUCCUAUUACUGUAAGAGUAAUAGGGAAACGCUUUAUUGUGCCAAGAGAUAAGACUAUAUCCUAUCAGCUAGUUGGUAGUAUAAGAGACUACCAAGGCAAUGACGGGUAGCUGGUCUGAGAGGAUGAUCAGCCACACUGGAACUGAGACACGGUCCAGACUCCUACGGGAGGCAGCAGUGGGGAAUAUUGCACAAUGGAGGAAACUCUGAUGCAGCAACGCCGCGUGGAGGAUGACGCAUUUCGGUGUGUAAACUCCUUUUAUAUGGGAAGAUAAUGACGGUACCAUAUGAAUAAGCACCGGCUAACUCCGUGCCAGCAGCCGCGGUAAUACGGAGGGUGCAAGCGUUCUCGGAAUCACUGGGCGUAAAGCGCGCGCAGGCGGGCUGAUAAGUUGGAUGUGAAAGCCUAUGGCUCAACCAUAGAACUGCAUCCAAAACUGUCAGUCUAGAGUCUGGGAGGGGAAGAUGGAAUUAGUUGUGUAGGGGUAAAAUCCGUAGAGAUAACUAGGAAUACCAAAAGCGAAGGCGAUCUUCUGGAACAGUACUGACGCUGAGGCGCGAAAGCGUGGGGAGCAAACAGGAUUAGAUACCCUGGUAGUCCACGCCCUAAACGAUGAAUGUUAGUCGUCGGUGUCCUAGUGACAUCGGUGAUGCAGCUAACGCAUUAAACAUUCCGCCUGGGGAGUACGGUCGCAAGAUUAAAACUCAAAGGAAUAGACGGGGACCCGCACAAGUGAUGGAGCAUGUGGUUUAAUUCGAAGAUACGCGAAGAACCUUACCUAGCCUUGACAUACUACAGAAUUUGACAGAGAUGUUGAAGUGCCUUCGGGAGCUGUAAUACAGGUGCUGCACGGCUGUCGUCAGCUCGUGUCGUGAGAUGUUGGGUUAAGUCCCGCAACGAGCGCAACCCUCGUCCUUAGUUACUAACGGUUCGGCCGAGGACUCUAAGGAGACUGCCUUC